rnacentral:rRNA from 1 species
UACGUAGGGGGCUAGCGUUGUCCGGAUUUAUUGGGCGAAAAGAGCGCGUAGGCGGCCGAGUAAGUCCGACGUGAAAUCUGGAGGCUCAACCUCCAGCGGUCGUUGGAAACUACUCGGCUAGAGUCCGGAAGAGGAGAGUGGAAUUCCUGGUGUAGCGGUGAAAUGCGCAGAUAUCAGGAAGAACACCGAUGGCGAAAGCAGCUCUCUGGGACGGUACUGACGCUGAGGCGCGAAAGCGUGGGGAGCGAACAGG